rnacentral:rRNA from 1 species
CAGUCGCCGCGGUAAUACGGAGGGUGCAAGCGUUAAUCGGAAUUACUGGGCGUAAAGCGUGCGUAGGCGGUUCGUUAAGUCUGUUGUGAAAGCCCCGGGCUCAACCUGGGAAUGGCAAUGGAUACUGGCGAGCUAGAGUGUGUCAGUGGAUGGUGGAAUUCCCGGUGUAGCGGUGAAAUGCGUAGAGAUCGGGAGGAACAUCAGUGGCGAAGGCGGCCAUCUGGGACAACACUGACGCUGAAGCACGAAAGCGUGGGGAGCAAACAGGAUUAGAGACCCCCGUAGUCCCUGUCUCUUAUAC